AUUUUACGGAAUGUGUUUGACAAAGAAGGAAGUAAACAUGUGCUUUGUAAUUUGAUGCCCAUCGGUAAUAUUUAAUCAUUUUAAAGACUUCCUUAUGUUCAAAACCCAAGCACACGUGCACCUAUACCAAAGACCCGAAGCAAUCCGGUUUUUUUCUAACAGCCAGAAACAGCAAAUAUGGCUGCAUCAAAUUACACAUCGUAUUUUGCAGUUGUAAUGAUGCUGUCUACAAUCAUUAGCUCGAUGAGUCAAACAGAACAAAAAGAAGGUCUGCGGAUAGAGACCGUUUAUGCCCCGUCCCCGGGAUGUUACGGCGUUAACUACGGGGACUUCUACAUAGGCGUGGAAAAUAUGACCCUGGCGGACGGUACCGUUUUGACUACUUCAUACAUGCCAAGAACAGACGUCGUAAAGAAGGGCUGGUACCUUGGAAAAAGGGCGAAAGGCAUUGACAUCGGAUUACAGGGAGCAUGUUAAGGGGAGAUAAGGAAUCUAACAAUACCUCCGCACCUCAUGUUUGGCAUCGAAAAAGAUACUUUUAGCUUUAAAGUGACAGUUCCUGCUAAUUCCACAAUAUUUUACCAAGCAGAAAUAUUGGAUAUUGUUCCUGAAAGCGAGAAAUCGUAUCUUGAGGAUUUCCUCCAUGCCGACUUGAACGGCGAUUUCCUCGUGGACGUAAAAGAGAUUGACCGUGUAUUAACAAAUGAAAGGGGUCUUCGGCAUAUGCUGAGUUCGGCUCUUGGAAUGGACAACAUAGCAGAACUAGCCGUGCAGUGGUUUGACAGUCUUGGGGACGUGCUCUAGAUAGAGAGGAAUAUUUUACAAUGUCCAAAACCAUUAAUUUGGAGCAGUUGAGAAAAGAUGCAAAUUCAGACUCAAAUUUAGAAUCAAUAAACCAGAACUCAAAUGAAGAACUCUGAGGUUUUGAAUAGUUCCAUCGGGAACUUGUGCAUAUAUGUAUUUGUUUGUUUGUUUUCUUGGCUGCUGAAUAAAAUAUCAAAUUU
rnacentral:misc_RNA from 1 species